UACAGAGGUCCCAAGCGUUGUUCGGAUUCACUGGGCGUAAAGGGUCCGUAGGCGGUUUUGUAAGUCAGUGGUGAAAGCCCAUCGCUCAACGGUGGAACGGCCAUUGAUACUGCAAGACUUGAAUUAUUAGGAAGUAACUAGAAUAUGUAGUGUAGCGGUGAAAUGCUUAGAGAUUACAUGGAAUACCAAUUGCGAAGGCAGGUUACUACUAGUGGAUUGACGCUGAUGGACGAAAGCGUGGGGAGCGAACAGG
rnacentral:rRNA from 1 species